rnacentral:rRNA from 1 species
GACGAACCGAGCGAACGUUGUUCGGAAUCACUGGGCUUAAAGGGCGCGUAGGCGGGCCGCCGCGUCCGGGGUGAAAUCCCACGGCUCAACCGUGGAACGGCCUCGGAUACGGCGGCCUCGAGGGGGGUAGGGGCAUGCGGAACUGUGAGUGGAGCGGUGAAAUGCGUUGAUAUUCACAGGAACUCCGGUGGCGAAGGCGGCGAUGCCUGGACCCCUUCGUCGACGCUGAGG